rnacentral:lncRNA from 1 species
UUGUGUUUUGAACUUAACAUACUUGUUUAUUAAAAUAAUUACAAAAACACACAUACAAGAAUGUUCAAGAGAAAUUGCAUAUACUAUUUUAACAUGUGGAUACACAAUUAUAUAAUAAAACACCUUCUUACACAUUAGGGGGAAAAAUAUAAAUCACUCCAUAAUAAUACAUUUUUUAUUUAAAUAGUUAUCUAUGAUACAAAUAUAUUCAUAGAUAAAUGUUUGAUAAAAUUUUUAUUUAAAACUUAGAUAGUGGGUUAUAAAUCAAUAAAUGUUUA